UUGACGGAGAGUUUGAUCCUGGCUCAGGACGAACGCUGGCGGCGUGCUUAACACAUGCAAGUCGAACGAUGAUGCCCAGCUUGCUGGGCGGAUUAGUGGCGAACGGGUGAGUAAUACGUGAGUAACCUGCCCUUGACUCUGGGAUAAGCCUGGGAAACUGGGUCUAAUACUGGAUACUACCUCUUACCGCAUGGUGGGUGGUGGAAAGGGUUUUACUGGUUUUGGAUGGGCUCACGGCCUAUCAGCUUGUUGGUGGGGUAAUGGCUCACCAAGGCGACGACGGGUAGCCGGCCUGAGAGGGUGACCGGCCACACUGGGAC
rnacentral:rRNA from 1 species